UUCGGAACCCGCCAUAAAACCAAAAGAAGAAGAAGAAUAUUUUCAUUCUUCAUUCAGUCCGCGCGCGUUUGUUGUGUCUUCUGAGAUCUGCUCCUCCUCCAGUGAAGCUCCUCCCACAACAAGCACACCUUCAGUGAAGCUCCUCCCACAACAAGCACACCUUCAGUGAAGCUCCUCCCACAAUAAGCACACCUUCAGUGAAGCUCCUCCCACUGCAGUUCAGCAAUAAAUGCUGGAAUAUUCCCAUCAGUCUACAAGUGAAGACGAGCAUCAGAGCAUCAGGAAGAAGUGAAAUCUGCAGAGACAGAGUUUAUUGAAGGACAGAGAGAACAUGAGAGAUCCAGAACCCUGCAGAAUGAAACACACUGAAGAACAAACAGAGUUUAUUGAAGGACAGAGAGAACAUGAGAGAUCCAGAACCCUGCAGAAUGAAACACACUGAAGAACAAACAGACGCAGUAGUGAAGCUAUUCUGUGGAUCUUCACAUGAUGUUUACUGCUCCUCUCAAGACGACUUCAAACUAUGAUAUACAGCAUUUAUCAUCUUUUGGUGAUGGAUCUCUAUCAGGGACUUCUGGUGAUGGAUGUG